UUGCUCUUCAACGAGGAAUACCUAGUAAGCGUGAGUCAUCAGCUCGCGUUGAUUACGUCCCUGCCCUUUGUACACACCGCCCGUCGCUACUACCGAUUGAAUGGCUUAGUGAGGUCUUGGGAUUGGCUUCGUGGAGCCGGCAACGGCACCGUGUCGCUGAGAACUUGAUCAAACUUGGUCAUUUAGAGGAAGUAAAAGUCGUAACAAGGUUUCCGUAGGUGAACCUGCGGAAGGAUCAUUAACGAGUUCUGACUUGGGUUGUCGCUGGUCCUCCGGGACAUGUGCACACUCAAUGCUCAUCCACUCACCCCUGUGCACACUUGUAGUUUCUCGGUUCCUAAAGGAUGUUUGAAGGCCUCGCGGCUGAAUAUAUUCCGCGGGAAUUGGGGGAUUACGUUUUUAUACACGCAUAAAGUCUAGAAUGUUAUCUUUGCUAUAAAACGCAUUAAAUACAACUUUCAACAACGGAUCUCUUGGCUCUCGCAUCGAUGAAGAACGCAGCGAAAUGCGAUAAGUAAUGUGAAUUGCAGAAUUCAGUGAAUCAUCGAAUCUUUGAACGCACCUUGCGCUCUUUGGUAUUCCGAAGAGCAUGCCUGUUUGAGUGUCAUGAAUCUCUCAACUCCUAAAGUCUGUAAUGGAUGAUAGGGGCUUGGACUUGGAGGCUUGCCGGUGUUUAUCGGCUCCUCUUAAAUGCAUUAGCUAUGGAUCACGAUGUGUUCGAUCUACGGUGUGAUACAUGUCUACGCUAUAGAUCUGCACGCGAGUUACCGCCCUUUUGGGUAGUGCUUUUCGGAGCCGUGUGACGAGUGAAUACAAAGCUUCUAAUCGUCUUCGGACAAAUUUACUUGACAUCUGACCUCAAAUCAGGUAGGACUACCCGCUGAACUUAAGCAUAUCAAUAAGCGGAGGA
rnacentral:rRNA from 1 species